rnacentral:lncRNA from 1 species
UAAUAUUAGCUUUCUUGUGUCCCCUCGUUUCAGUUCAGUUUUUCAAAUUCAGUCUUUAAUCUCUUCCGGUAUUAUUCAUUCUACGGCGAAAACUUGUCUAGUUAACCAAAUAUAAGACGGGAAAGUUUCAUCUAUAAGACGCACCGAAAGUUUUACAUCCAAGCUAGGUAAGGCCGCUGUUGGCCCUUUUUCUCUUUCAAGCAAUUUGGCAGAGUCCAAAAUCAGUAUUUUCCCUGAUGCCGCCUAUUCCUAUUCC